rnacentral:rRNA from 1 species
CCAAUAGCGUAUAUUAAAGUUGUUGCAGUUAAAAAGCUCGUAGUUGAAUUUCGGGAUCAGUGGGUCGGUCGUGCCACUGGUAUGCACUGGCCCUAUUGGUUCCUCCUUCUUGAAGAACUGUAAUGCCAUUAAUUUGGUGUUGCAGGGAAACAGGACUGUUACUUUGAAAAAAUUAGAGUGUUUAAAGCAGGCAAUCGCUUGAAUACAUUAGCAUGGAAUAAUGAAAUAGGACGAUCGAUCCUAUUUUGUUGGUUUCUAGGAUUGAAGUAAUGAUUAACAGGGAUAGUUGGGGGCAUUAGUAUUCAAUUGUCAGAGGGGAAAUUCUUGGAUUUAUUGAAGACUAACUACUGCGAAAGCAUUUGACAAGGAUGUGUUCAUUAAUCAAGAACGAAAGUUAGGGGAUCGAAGACGAUCAGAUACCGUCGUAGUCUUAACCAUAAACUAUGCAGACUAGGGAUCGGAUGAUGUUAAUUUUUUAAUGACUCAUUCGGCGCCUUACG